rnacentral:rRNA from 1 species
UACGGAGGGGGCUAGCGUUGUUCGGAAUUACUGGGCGUAAAGCGCACGUAGGCGGCUUUGUAAGUUAGAGGUGAAAGCCCCGGGCUCAACCUGGGAAUGGCAUGGGAAACUGGCGAGCUGGAGUGCGGCAGAGGGGGGUGGAAUUCCGCGUGUAGCAGUGAAAUGCGUAGAGAUGCGGAGGAACACCGAUGGCGAAGGCAGCCCCCUGGGUCGACACUGACGCUCAGGCACGAAAGCGUGGGGAGCAAACAGG